AGAAUGAAAAAGCUGUUUUGGGAAGACGUUCCAAACCCCAAGAAUUGUUCCUGGGCACAAGGACUUAAUUUCCAAAAGAGAACGGACAUUCUUUGAAGUCUCUCAUGACCACCACAGAUGAACCCAAUGUACCAACUUCCCAGCAGUCCAUAGAGUAUUAGAAGAUGUUUACAUUUUGAAAGAGGGAAACAAACCCAAACUAUUGUUUGAAUUACUAAGAACUAACAUAUGAUGAACUUAAUAGAGACAUGUACGUUUGUGGCCACUAUGUGGGUUUGAUGUAGUUCAUUUGGGGUAUAUGCUUAAUUAUCAGAACACCUAAAGUUUGAUAUUAAUAAUCAUGGUCUCUGCUUUCAAAUUUUUAUUUUUCUGGUCAUAAAAUGUUAAUGGUGUGACUGUUGUGGUCGGAACAUAUUCUGUUUCCAAAUGUGGUAGAAAUGUAGUCAAGAUUGCUGGAACUAGGGAGCUCGAACAGGUAACUUCUGACAUCCAGCUUUGCAAAGACCCCCCGCCCCCGGCCGCCCCCCCCCCACACACACACUACAGGGAAGGUAUUUAGCUUCUAUUUCUAUGUGUGAAAGCUUCUCUACUAGAUUUUUUUGGACACUUAUAAAUUCAUGAAUUUCAGAUUCUUCUGAAUAACAUGGCUUUUGUGUACCAAACUUGGAAUAAUCUAGGAAUUUUAGUUUUCUAUAGUCUUGAACAUGACUUAAGUUCUAACUCUUAUUUUAGUUUAAAGAAAGCCAGAAGUUGUGGCUUGUGGUGAUCACACACCAAUGGAAGCUGUGUUUCAUAUGAGGAUAACCCCAUAUAGACCACACAUUAAUGGAAGCUGUGUUUCAUAUGAGGAUAACCCCACAUAGACCACACAUUAAUGGAAGCUGUGUUUCAUAUGAGGAUAACCCCACAUAGACCAGUGGAAGCUAUCCUUCAUUUCAGGAUAACCCUACACACGCAGGUCAAAUUGCCCAGAGCAGAAGAGAGUAACAACCUCCAUGAAUCAAUUUAUUUCCACUGAAUCAGCCGAAGACUUCUGGCAGACAGGGAGGUGUGCAAGAACGGGAGACUUUCUGGGAUUUUAAAAAUAGGUCCUGGUAAAGACAGGGCUUUUCUCCCUGAAAAACAGAUGUCUUGCCAUAUCUGUUAAUAUAUAGUAUAGACUUUAUUGCUUACAUUCAAACUAAACCAAAUCGAUGGACACAAAUAACAUUCAAAUUUAAGAUAUGUGGGUCACUUAGAUGUGAUUGGUAAUUUUAUUUGGAAAUCUAAAGAAAGUUAAGACACUAGGAGGGUUGUACCCCCUUUCCUUCCUUUAAUAUUAAUAGACAUCAUUGUACUAUAAAUGUCUAGCUGCAAACUUGUGAAAGGUUGUUUUUCAAUUCUUAUAUCCACAGAGUGAAAUAAAUUUUGAACAAACAUACUUUGAAGAAGUUCUGUGACCAUUGAUAAUAUAUAGUUCAGUAAUGUGUUGUUUAAAAGCAUUUAUUAUUUAAACUUUCUACAUGGAUGCUUUUUAAGAUGCCCAUGACUUGUUCCACAAUUAGCUGUACAUUAAGAAGGUUUAGGCCCGGGGCUGGAGAAAUGGCUCAGUGGUUAAGAGCACUGACUGCUCUUCCAGAGGACCCGGGUUCAAUUCCCAGCACCCACAUGGCAGCUCACAACUGUCUGAAGAUCCAGUUGCAGGGGAUCUGACACCUUCACACUAAUGCACAUAAAAUAAAGUUAAAUAAACCAUCAAAAAUAUUUUUUAAAAAAAGAAGGUUUAGGCCCCAUGGAGGAGAUGGAACAGAUCAUUUGAAAAACACACAUGAACUCAACUGCAUGCUGUAUGUUGUUUCUAUUUUUCCAUAUUGGUAGAAAGAAGCAAAAUGAAAGGAUCGGAUGUCAAGCUCAUUUAAACUUUUUAAAAAAUUCAGCAAUAUAUGUAGUAGAAAUAUUAAGGGGAAAAUUAGAAUGUUUGGAGGAAGUCACAAAUGUACAGAUUCCUGUCAGAAACAGUGUGGGAGUAGGAUCCAUUUUCUUCUCACUCACAGCAUUUUUAGCAGUGUUUGUCAAUCAGUAUUUUAACACUGACAUAGGUCUAUGCCAUUACAAUAGUUAGUGUUCAGUAUAUUUAUUCCUCUACUGUUUAAUCACUAAUAUAUUUCAGCUAAGAGUUUGCAACUGCUGUGUUUUUAUAUGGGAUAUGCUUGCCAUUGUGAAGAACAUUUGAGUAUACUGCUAUCUCAGGCCAUAACUCAGAAUUCAUUUUAUUAGCUUAAAAAACUAUAACAUUCAGAAGCUAAAUCACACGUAUGAUCUAUGAACUGAACGUACUUUCUACUUAGAUGUGUUAUCCAUUCAGUGUGAUAUAUUUGCAGUAUUUUUAUUUGAAUUCUAUGUUUUAAGUUUACAUUGUUUGUACUGAGCUUUUUGCAUGCAGAUUUUUGAUUUGUAGCUGCUUGACAGGAUUUCAUUGUUAUGUAACCCUUGUUCUUAUAAAAAGAAAACAUGCUGUA